UGGACCCUACGGGGCGCAGCAGUCGGGAAUAUUGCGCAAUGGAGGAAACUCUGACGCAGUGACGCCGCGUGCAGGAAGAAGGUUUUCGGAUUGGAAACUGCUUUAUACAGGGAAGAUAAUGACAGUACCUGUAGAAUAAGCUCCGCCUAACUACGUGCCAGCAGCCGCGGUAAUACGUAGGGAGCAAGCGUUAUCCGGAUUUAUUGGGUGUAAUGGGUGCGUAGACGGGAAGACAAGUUGGUUGUGAAAUCCCUCGGCUUAACUGAGGAACUGCAACCAAAACUAUCUUUCUUGAGUGCUGGAUG
rnacentral:rRNA from 1 species